rnacentral:misc_RNA from 1 species
UAUUGAGCGCGGCUGGGAUCUCCAGGAGCCGUCGUCUUGCCUCUGGCAGGCGUAACUCUUGCCCAGUCUGCGUGAAUAUUCACCCAUGUCUUUUGCGUACUUCUCGUUUCCUUGGUGGGUUCGCCCGCCAUCAGGACAACCAUUAAACCUUUUGUAAUUGCAGUCAGCGUCAGUAAAAUGUAAUCGUUACAACUUUCAACAACGGAUCUCUUGGUUCU